GUCGAGAAUCAUUCGCAAUGGGCGAAAGCCUGACGAUGCGACGCCGUGUGAGCGAAGAAGGCCUUAGGGUUGUAAAGCUCUUUCGCCUGGGAACAAGAGAGAUUGGCUAAUAUCCAAUUAAUUUGAGCGUACCAGGUAAAGAAGCACCGGCUAACUCCGUGCCAGCAGCUGCGGUAAUACGGAGGGUGCAAGCAUUAAUCGGAUUUAUUGGGCGUAAAGGGCGCGUAGGCGGGAAUAAAAGUCAGAUGUGAAAUCCUGGGGCUCAACCUCAGAACUGCAUUUGAAACUUUAUUUCUUGAGGGUAGGCGGAGAAAACGGAAUUCCACAAGUAGCGGUGAAAUGCGUAGAUAUGUGGAAGAACACCGGUGGCGAAGGCGGUUUUCUAGCUUAUUCCUGACGCUGAUGCGCGAAAGCAAGGGGAUCAAACAGGAUUAGAAACCCGGGUAGUCC
rnacentral:rRNA from 1 species